GCAUCGGUAGCUCAGCUGGUAGAGCAUAGGAUUCCAAACCCUAGUGUCGCAGGUUCGAUCCCUGUCCGGUGUG
rnacentral:tRNA from 1 species